AACGCUAGCGGGAUGCUUUACACAUGCAAGUCGAACGGCAGCACGUAGAGCUUGCUCUUCGGUGGCGAGUGGCGAACGGGUGAGUAUUGUAUCGGAACGUGCCCAGUAGCGGGGGAUAACUACGCGAAAGCGUGGCUAAUACCGCAUACGCCCUACGGGGGAAAGGGGGGGAUCGCAAGACCUCUCACUAUUGGAGCGGCCGAUAUCGGAUUAGCUGGUUGGUGGGGUAAAGGCCUACCAAGGCGACGAUCCGUAGCUGGUUUGAGAGGACGACCGAGCCACACUGGGAGUCGAGACACGGCCCAGACUCCUACGGGAGGCAGCAGUGGGCAAUUUUGGACAAUGGGGGCAACCCUGAUCCAGCCAUCCCGCGUGUGCGAUGAAGGCCUUCGGGUUCGUAAAGCACUUUUGGCAGGCAAGAAACGGCGCGGGCUAAUAACCUG
rnacentral:rRNA from 1 species